rnacentral:rRNA from 1 species
GAAUAUUGGACAAUGGGGGCAACCCUGAUCCAGCGACGCCGCGUGUGUGAAGAAGGCCUGCGGGUUGUAAAGCACUUCUAGUGGGGAUGAAAAGCACAUUGCUAAUACCAGUGUGUCUUGACCUAACCCAAAGAAAAAGCACCGGCUAACUCUGUGCCAGCAGCCGCGGUAAUACGGAGGGGGCUAGCGUUGUUCGGAAUUACUGGGCGUAAAGCGCACGUAGGCGGCGCGAAAAGUCAGAGGUGAAAGGCCUGGGCUCAACCUGGGAACUGCCUUUGAUACUAGCGUGCUUGAGUCCGGAAGAGGGUGGCGGAAUUCCCAGUGUAGAGGUGAAAUUCGUAGAUAUUGGGAAGAACACCGGUGGCGAAGGCGGUCACCUGGUCCGGUACUGACGCUGAGGUGCGAAAGCGUUGGGAGCAAAC